rnacentral:rRNA from 1 species
UACGAAGGGGGCUAGCGUUGUUCGGAAUUACUGGGCGUAAAGGGCGCGUAGGCGGUCUUGUAAGUCAGAUGUGAAAGCCCCGGGCUCAACCCGGGAAUAGCAUUUGAUACUGCGAGGCUUGAGUCCGGGAGAGGAUGGCGUAAUUCCCAGUGUAGAGGUGUAAUUCGUAGAUAUUGGGAAGAACCCCGCUGGCGAGGGCGGCCAUCUGGACCGGUACUGACGCUGAGUCGCGAAAGCGUGGCGAGCAAUUAGG